UGCCCCCUGCGAUGUACGUGAUGGAGGAGUUAAUUUUGAGCCAACGCUAAAAAACAGGGAGCCGUCCCUUGCCGCGGUGUGUAUGCCUUCCUAUUAGGUGGGAAACCUUAAGCGGCAAUAUGGCGCCCACCUGCGAUAUGCAGGUUCAAAUGAGACCAACACACGGCACCCGGCGGGGGGCAU
rnacentral:other from 1 species